rnacentral:misc_RNA from 1 species
CGCACCUUGCGCUCUUUGGUAUUCCGAAGAGCAUGCCUGUUUGAGUGUCAUGAAAUCAUCAACCCCCUACACUUUUUGUGUUAGCGGCGGCUUGGACUUGGAGGCUUAUGCUGGCUUUUCGAAGCCGGCUCCUCUUGAAUGCAUUAGCUGGACUUGUGUUUCGCAGUACGCGGUGUGAUAAUUUAUUCACCCAUGUGCGCUUACACUCCUAGUCAAGCUUCUAAUCGCUCGUAACUGAGCAAUUCUUGACCAUCUGACCUCAAAUCAGGUAGGACUACCCGCUGAACUUAA